rnacentral:rRNA from 1 species
AGUGAACGCUGGCGGCAGGCCUAACACAUGCAAGUCGAACGGCAGCACAGUAAGAUUUUGCUCUUACGGGUGGCGAGUGGCGGACGGGUGAGGCAUACAUCGGAAUCUACUUUUUCGUGGGUGAUAACGUAGGGCAACUUACGCUAAUACCGCAUAUGUUCUACCGGUGAAAUCAGUGGUUCUUCGCACCUUUCGUGUCUGUAUUAGCUGAUUUCGGAUUAGCUAGUUGGCUGGGUAAAGGCCCACCAAGGCGACGAUCCGUAGCUGGUCUGAGAGGAUGAUCGGCCACACUGGAACUGAGACACGGUCCAGACUCCUACGGGAGGCAGCAGUAGGGAAUAUUGGGCAAUGGGCGAAAGCCUGAUCCAGCCAUACCGCGUGGGUGAAGAAGGCCUUCGGGUUGUAAAGCCCUUUUGUUGGGGAAGAAAAGCAGCAGAUUAAUACACCGCUGUUCUGACGGUACCCAAAGAAUAAGCACCGGCUAACUACGUG